ACUCCUACGGGAGGCAGCAGUGGGGAAUAUUGCACAAUGGGGAAACCCUGAUGCAGCCAUGCCGCGUGUGUGAAGAAGGCCUUCGGUUGUAAAGCACUUCAGUAGGGAGGAAGGUAGUGUAGUUAACACCUGCACUAUUUGACGUUACCUACAGAAGAAGCACCGGCUAACUCCGUGCCAGCAGCCUCGGUAAUACGGAGGGGUGCGAGCGUUAAUCGGAAUUACUGGGCGUAAAGCGCAUGCAGGCGGCCUGUUAAGUCAGAUGUGAAAGCCCGGGGGCUUAACCUCGGAAUUGCAUUUGAAACUGGCAGGCUAGAGUCUUGUAGAGGGGGUAGAAUUUCAGGUGUAGCGGUGAAAUGCGUAGAGAUCUGAAGGAAUACCAGUGGCGAAGGCGGCCCCCUGGACAAAGACUGACGCUCAGAUGCGAAAGCGUGGGGAGCAAACAGGAUUAGAUACCCUUGUAGCACAGAG
rnacentral:rRNA from 1 species